GUCUGCUUGAUGUCAAAUAUCUCUGCUUCUCACUGCUCCAAGUUUCCCAUCCUCCUAGCUCACACCACUGAGCCCUGUCUGCCUGAGACAUUAUUGGUGUUCCUGUGAUAAACUCAGCAUUAAUGAUAACAUAACUCAUGGUGGCACCAGGUGCCAGCUGUUCAGGGACCCACGAAAGAUGGGCCAGUAAUAGAUGCCAAGCCCUUGGGAACCUGACAUCCAAGCAGGACAGGUUUAUAAACUAUGUUGCUUCAUUUCACAUCCAGCAACCUUGGGAUAACACUCUCAGACAGUAAGAGAUUUUGAGCAGCAUUGACAGUGAAAAUGGGAUCCAAAACUCUCCAAAAGUCUGCUCAGCAAAGAUUUCACAUUAAAGUAGUUCUACCCAUUAUUAUGAAAA